AUACGGAGGAUCCGAGCGUUAUCCGGAUUUAUUGGGUUUAAAGGGUGCGCAGGCGGCCAUUUAAGUCAGCGGUUAAAUCGUGGGGCUCAACCCCAUUCUGCCGUUGAUACUGGGUGGCUUGAUUGCGGUCGAGGUUGGCGGAAUUCGUUGUGUAGCGGUGAAAUGCAUAGAUAUGACGAAGAACACCGAUUGCGUAGGCAGCUGACCAGAUCGCAAAUGACGCUCACGCACGAAAGUGCGGGGAUCGAACAGGAUUAGAUACCCUGGUAGUCCGCACAGUAAACGAUGAAUACUUGUUUUCGGCGAUAUAAUGUCGGAGGCAAAGCGAAAGCGAUAAGUAUUCCACCUGGGGAGUACGCCGGCAACGGUGAAACUCAAAUGAAUUGACGGGG
rnacentral:rRNA from 1 species